CAACCCCGGCCCGCCAAAAAGUGGAGUUUUAGCAAAAUGGAAGAUAACGCUGUGAAUGAAUUUUCUUCUGAAGAAGAUCACGUGUAUGAAUUUCAAUCCAUUUUUACAGAUGGACAUAAAGACACCGAAACAACUCUGACUCCCUGCCAUAGAGAAGUCCUCGCUCAUGUCCAGCUCCACCGCUGUACCACAGCCCUCUGAGCUCUCAGACACAGUGCGGGCUGAGUUUAGCCUUGAACGCGACUGCCAAGAAGACUGCACAAGGGAAUACAAAUACUUUUCUUUUGAAUUCUAGCUUGCAUAGAGAAUCAUGCAAUUGUUAAAAAACAAAGGAUUGUUUAAUUUACCUGUACUGCAUGGUCAGCCCCUGGAGUCAUUGGCAGGUACCCAGCCCCAAUUGAUGGAUUAAGCACCAACUUAAUUGAAAAAGGAAAAAAUACAUCCUAAGCAAAACAGACUAGAAUUUAAGGAGACACUCAUGAUAUUUUGGGAGUGACCAAAAAGUGUUGAACAUACUUUGUGAGUAUCUGUUUUGGAGAGACGACUGAUACUCCUAGAAAGGUACGGGGGGGCUGGAGCAUCAACGUCUUCCUCUACCACAAGAUCCUCGAUAUCAAUAUCAAGAUCGUCCAAGUCAUCCAGGUCUGCGCUUCGCUGGGUGACUUCAUCAAGGCCGGACUGCUGCUGGCUGCAGUCCUCCUGGAAGAUCAAGAUCAGGAACCUCCUGUGGACGCAUGUUUGCAUACGGUUCUGCCCCAUAGGACAUCAUCUCCCACACUGUCACACCUGCAAUGAAGGAGAGCAAAUUUGAGAUGCUCCAACCGGCUAAACCAACAAGUAAUUCAUUCCCUGGGGACAGCAAACAACAAGAAUUGAAUGACAUUGUGAAAAGAGUAUACACUUUUUAAAUCAGAAGUAAUAAUUCUAAAGUAAAAGUUUUUUUUUUACCUUUGCAAUCUGCACACACCAGUUGAGCAGCCUCUGCGGGCUCAGCUUGUUCUUGUUGUUCCUGAUGUGCUCCAGCAGGGAGCCCUGAGUGCUGAGCUGGGUGAUGAGCUGCAGGCUCUCUCCAGGACAGAUACCAAGAGUCUUCACAACGUUGAUGUGGUUCAGGCUUCCUAUAGCUUUCAUGUGCUGUGAACAUUUAGAAUCUUUCUUAAACUGUUGCAUGUUAACAGUCAUAAAGUGUGUGUCACAUAUUUAGCCAACGCAUAAAUGGGAGGAUCAUUUAGAAAAUGCAAAGUGUCUCAAUGGGCUUUCACUCUUAUUACUCAAGAAAACCUGCUUAGCAUGCAUUCCACCAACAGAAAAAGAAUCCUUUUUGCACAGUCCACUUGUAAAAUGAUCAAAAGCAUUAAAAUGGUUUGAAUUCCCUUAAAUUUGUAAUAAAAUCUUGUUGUUUUUUCUUGUAA